UGGUACCUACUGAUAAUCUCAGGUUUCUUGCAUUUCUAUCACACGUUAUUUUCUCUUGUGAUUUUGGCAAUUUUGGUUUCUAACACAAGUUUCGUUCCAUAUUUCAGAUCUAACACUUCAGGAAGUGCUGAUUUGGUUGCCUGAUGUCGACUGCUGAGGAAGAAACCUCUUGUAUUCUUCGAGUAGGGAAAAUGGAGCAAAUUGAUUUCAAAUUGGGAGCUGUAAUUUAUAAUCAGCUGGUGAAGGUAAUGUGGGACAGGAAGUUAUCAGUCAACCUCGUUUGGUUUAGGGUUUAAGGUUUAUGGUGCAUUUUCAUGUCUUUAUCAAUUGCUUAAGCUUCCAAUUAUGCUGCUGUUGCUGCUAUUUGUAGUGACUGGAAACUGUUGUAAAUAUUGUUUUUGGAUUUUGUUGCAAGGUGCCAUUUUUAGUUUUAGGGUUAA